rnacentral:misc_RNA from 1 species
AUAUUUUUUUUUUUUUUUUUUGGUCCAUGUGAAUUAUUCUUUGACUCUGCAUGAAAUUGUAUUAACAAUUACAUUCCCAGUAGCUUAAAAUUAUUUUCUGCAGUGGCUGAUACAAUCAUCACAAAGACAUGAACUUCAUAAACUGCAAGCACUAAAAUAAUGGGAUUCAACUAAAAUGCACAUAAAAAAGAGCACUGACCGGUAGCUCUGAGUCUCCUCCCCAAAAUCAGGACUCCCAAUGCGUUGACACCAGUGUUUCAAAGACUCAUCUACCAUAAUUGCAAUCACUGCUCUUCAUACUGCUGGUAUUCCUUAUCACUAUCACACAUAACCUCUUUCACAGCCAU